UGCCUGUGUUUGUUUUGACUGGUGUGUUGUUCUGGAUCUCACGCCCACAGGCUGGAAAGGAUCGCAAUCUCAUCCACAUUCUUCGAGGACCCCAAUUCGCUCAACAAGGUUCCUUGCCCCUCAAUUUACGAUCCUGCUGAGAAGUACAUUUCGUCAAUCAUCCCUGCUUAUAACGAGGAGCACCGGCUUCCUGAGGCUCUUUCAGAAACACUCGACUAUCAGAAACAACGUUCAGCUACCGACAAGUCAUUUACUUAUGAGGUAUGACAGGGCAGAACAUGUUAGAAACUUUUAUUCGAUACAUCAAUACAUCAGAAAGAAAGAAAAAACAUUUGGCUAAUUAUGCUAGCAAAACUAAGUAUGCACAAAUGAGAAAGUGUGCAUUUCAGUAUCAUGAGAUAUGUUAGUGAGCAGGUUAAUCAAUUCACCGCACUGGAAACAGUCCAUUAGAAUUGUAAAUUUGUAAUAACUGUUCCUACCCAUAUGUUGUUUUCUACCUAAGAUAUAUCAAUAUCCUGUUUGGA